CCUACGGGUGGCAGCAGUGAGGAAUAUUGGUCAAUGGGCGGGAGCCUGAACCAGCCAAGUCGCGUGAGGGAAGACGGUCCUAUGGAUUGUAAACCUCUUUAGGCGGGGAGCAAUGCCGGGCACGCGUGCCCGGAGGGAGAGUACCCGCAGAAUAAGCAUCGGCUAACUCCGUGCCAGCAGCCGCGGUAAUACGGAGGAUGCGAGCGUUAUCCGGAUUUAUUGGGUUUAAAGGGUGCGUAGGCGGGCUGUUAAGUCAGCGGUCAAAUGUCGGGGCUCAACCCCGGCCUGCCGUUGAAACUGGCGGCCUCGAGUGGGCGAGAAGUAUGCGGAAUGCGUGGUGUAGCGGUGAAAUGCAUAGAUAUCACGCAGAACUCCGAUUGCGAAGGCAGCAUACCGGCGCCCGACUGACGCUGAGGCACGAAAGCGUGGGUAUCGAACAGGAUUAGAUACCCCUGUAGUC
rnacentral:rRNA from 1 species